GGUUGCCUACGGGGGGCAGCAGUGGGGAAUAUUGCACAAUGGGGGAAACCCUGAUGCAGCGACGCCGCGUGAGUGAAGAAGUAAUUCGUUACGUAAAGCUCUAUCAGCAGGGAAGAGAGUGACGGUACCUGAGUAAGAAGCCCCGGCUAACUACGUGCCAGCAGCCGCGGUAAUACGUAGGGGGCAAGCGUUAUCCGGAUUUACUGGGUGUAAAGGGAGCGUAGACGGCAGUGCAAGUCUGAAGUGAAAGCCCCGGGCUUAACCCGGGAAUUGCUUUGGAAACUGUACGGCUGGAGUGCUGGAGA
rnacentral:rRNA from 1 species